CACGGGGUUGCGAGCGUUGUCCGGAAUUACUAGGCGUAAAGGGCAGGCAGGCGGAUCCAUAAGUUUAUCGUUUAAGGCGUCGGCUUAACCGGCGUAGGGCGGUAGAUACUGUGGAUCUGGAAUGCGGUUGGGGAAGACAGAAUUCCUGGUGUAGCGGUGGAAUGCGCAGAGAUCAGGAGGAAUACCGAAGGCGAAGGCAGUCUUCCAAGCCGUUAUUGACGCUCAACUGCGAAGGUGUGGGUAUCAAACAGGAUUAGAUAUCCCGGUAGUCCCUGA
rnacentral:rRNA from 1 species